rnacentral:rRNA from 1 species
UACGUAGGGUGCGAGCGUUGUCCGGAAUUAUUGGGCGUAAAGAGCUCGUAGGCGGCUUGUCGCGUCGGAUGUGAAAGCCCGGGGCUUAACUCCGGGUCUGCAUUCGAUACGGGCAGGCUAGAGUUCGGUAGGGGAGAUCGGAAUUCCUGGUGUAGCGGUGAAAUGCGCAGAUAUCAGGAGGAACACCAGUGGCGAAGGCGGAUCUCUGGGCCGAUACUGACGCUGAGGAGCGAAAGCGUGGGGAGCGAACAGG